rnacentral:RNase_P_RNA from 1 species
UGGGUCGGCAAGACGGUCGCGUCAUGCGUGUUUUUCGAAACACGGAUGCCGAGGAACGUCCGGGCUCCGAAGAGCAGGACGGUGGGUAACACCCACCCGGGGUAACCCGCGAGACAGUGCCACAGAAAGUAGACCGCCGCUGGCUCACGCCGGCGGUAAGGGUGAAACGGUGGUGUAAGAGACCACCAGAGGCCAAGGUGACUUGGUCGGCUUGGUAAACCUCGUCCGGAGCAAGGUCAGACAGAAAACGCUGAGGCUGCUCGCCAAGUUUUCGGGUAGACCGCUAGAGGGCUGCGGCAACGUAGUCCCCAGAUAGAUGACCGUCCAUGGUGUCGUGUUCGCACGAAACCGGGACAGAACCCGGCGUAACAGCUGGCCCAUUCC